UUCCCUUCGGGGAAUGAGUAAAGUGGCGCACGGGUGAGUAACACGUAGGUAAUCUACCUUCGGGUGGGGAAUAACGCAGGGAAACUUGCGCUAACACCGCAUAAUGCAGCGGCACCACAUGGUGACAGUUGUUAAAGCGGGGGAUUUUAGGACCUCGCGCCUGAAGAGGAGCCUGCGGCAGAUUAGCUAGUUGGUAGGGUAACGGCUUACCAAGGCGACGAUCUGUAACCGGCCUGAGAGGGCGGUCGGUCACACUGACACUGACAUACGGGUCAGACUCCUACGGGAGGCAGCAGUCGGGAAUUUUGGGCAAUGGGCGAAAGCCUGACCCAGCAACGCCACGUGAAGGAUGAAAUCCCUCGGGAUGUAAACUUCGCAAGAAUGGGAAGAAUGAGCGAGCGCUAAUACCGUUCGUGAUGACGGUACCAUUUGUAAGCUCCGGCUAACUCCGUGCCAGCAGCCGCGGUAAUACGGGGGGAGCAAGCGUUGUUCGGAUUUACUGGGCGUAAAGGGCGCGUAGGCGGUCAGCACAAGUCAGUUGUAAAAUCUCCGGGCUUAACUCGGAAAGGUCAACUGAUACUGUGCGACUAGAGUGCAGAAGGGGCAACUGGAAUUCUCGGUGUAGCGGUGAAAUGCGUAGAUAUCGAGAGGAACACCUGCGGCGAAGGCGGGUUGCUGGGCUGACACUGACGCUGAUGCGCGAAAGCCAGGGGAGCGAACGGGAUUAGAUACCCCGGUAGUCCUGGCCUUAAACGAUGGAUGCUUGGUGUCUGGAGUUUUAUAGUCUCCGGGUGCCGUAGCUAACGCGUUAAGCAUCCCGCCUGGGGAGUACGGUCGCAAGACUGAAACUC
rnacentral:rRNA from 1 species